CUGCGGCCUAUCAGCUUGUUGGUGAGGUAAUGGCCCACCAAGGCGAUUACAGGUACGGGCUCUGAGAGGAGAAGCCCGGAGAUGGGUACUGAGACAAGGACCCAGGCCCUAUGGGGCGCAGCAGGCGAGAAAACUUUGCAAUGUGCGAAAGCACGACAAGGUUAGUCCGAGUGAUUUCUGCUAAAGAGAUCUUUUGCAAGUUCUAAAACCACUAGUGAAUAAGGGGUGGGCAAGUUCUGGUGUCAGCCGCCGCGGUAAAACCAGCACCUCAAGUGGUCAGGAGGAUUAUUGGGCCUAAAGCAUCCGUAGCCGGCUCUGUAAGUUUUCGGUUAAAUCCAUGUGCUCAACGCAUGGGCUGUCGGGAAUACUGCAUAGCUAGGGAGUGGGAGAGGUAGACGGUACUCGGUAGGAAGGGGUAAAAUCCUUUGAUCUAUCGAUGACCACCUGUGGCGAAGGCGGUCUACCAGAACACGU
rnacentral:rRNA from 2 species